rnacentral:tRNA from 1 species
GCUCGUGUGGUGAAAUUGGUAGACGCGAUGGACUCAAAAUCCAUUGGUAGCAAUACCAUGCCGGUUCGAGUCCGGCCACGAGCACCA